GUAAGGAAUAUUGGACAAUGGACGCAAGUCUGAUCCAGCCAUGCCGCGUGAAGGAUUAAGGUCCUCUGGAUUGUAAACUUCUUUUAUAAGGGACGAAAAAAGGCUUUUCUAAGUCGUCUGACGGUACCUUAUGAAUAAGCACCGGCUAACUCCGUGCCAGCAGCCGCGGUAAUACGGAGGGUGCAAGCGUUAUCCGGAUUCACUGGGUUUAAAGGGUGCGUAGGCGGGCAGGUAAGUCAGUGGUGAAUUCCUAGAGCUUAACUCUAGAACUGCAAUAGAUACUAUCUGUCUUGAAUAUUGUGGAGGUAAGCGGAAUAUGUCAUGUAGCGGUGAAAUGCUUAGAUAUGACAUAGAACACCUAUUGCGAAGGCAGCUUACUACGCAUAUAUUGACGCUGAGGCACGAAAGCGUGGGGAUCAAACAGGAUUAGAAACCCUAGUAGUCC
rnacentral:rRNA from 1 species